rnacentral:rRNA from 1 species
AUUACAUGCAAGUCGAGCGAACCAAUAAGAAGCUUGCUUUUUGUUGGUUAGCGGCGGACGGGUGAGUAACACGUGGGUAACCUGCCUGUAAGACCGGGAUAACUCCGGGAAACCGGUGCUAAUACCGGAUAGAUUAUCUUUCCGCCUGGAGAGAUAAGGAAAGAUGGCUUUUGCCAUCACUUACAGAUGGGCCCGCGGCGCAUUAGCUAGUUGGUGAGGUAACGGCUCACCAAGGCGACGAUGCGUAGCCGACCUGAGAGGGUGAUCGGCCACACUGGGACUGAGACACGGCCCAGACUCCUACGGGAGGCAGCAGUAGGGAAUCUUCCGCAAUGGACGAAAGUCUGACGGAGCAACGCCGCGUGAGUGAAGAAGGUCUUCGGAUCGUAAAGCUCUGUUGUUAGGGAAGAACAAGUAUCGGAGGAAAUGCCGGUACCUUGACGGUACCUGACGAGAAAGCCCCGGCUAACUACUUGCCAGCAGCCGCGGUAAUACGUAAGGGGUAAGCGUUGUCCGGAAU